GUCUGUUUUCUCAAUGAUAACUUGGCAGCGGCAGGGGGAAGCGGCCGGGUUAUGUAUUUUAUUUUAUUUUUUCUCCCCUGGGCUCGGUACCGGAUACGUGCGCGUUUCUCUGCAUGCGUUUUUAAGCGAAACGAAGGGGGGAAAAAAAGCCGAAACAGGAAAUCCGGCGCGCGGCGGGGGCUGCCGGCCGCGAUGGUGGCGGGCGCGGGGGAGCAGGCAUGCGUUCAUCUUUUUGUCUUUCAUUUUACCUUCAGGUUGACGCUGGGCGCCGGGCGAGCCGCGUUGGUCACCGCCGGGUCCCACCUGGAGGAGGGAAGCACACGCAAAAGGGGGAAAAAAAAAAAAAAAAAAGGAAAAAAAAAUCACGGAAACGGGCGGGGGGGGGGAAGGGGGGUGCCACCCGGAUGCGGCGGAUGGGACAGCACAGCACGCGCAGAGCAGGGCCCCGCCAUGUCCCUGCACGGAACGGGACUGAGGGAAAAGGCACCCCGUGUCGUGAGGGAGCGCAGGGGACGUGGGGAACGCAGGCCCAUAAGGGCUGCUCGUGGGCCACUGUGCUGUUGUGUGGAGGCUGGCAGAUGCUGAGCCGGGCUGGGUGGUGGGUGACCAGCAUGUGGUGACGAGGCCUGCCGCCACCAGGUCAACCUGUGUGACUGGGGGUUGUUGUGAGCAGGGGUAGGGGGUGGCACUAGGCUUGGUUUGCUUUCCUUGGUGUUUGUGCUCCUAAAAGGAAGACCAUAGAAUCGCUGAGAUUGGAAAAGACCACUAAGAUCAUCUAGACCAACCAUCAACCCAUCACCACCAUGCCCGCUAAUCCAUGUCCCUCAGUCUUUGUGCCAAGUGGAAAGAUCUUCAAACAUUAUUGUCUCAUUCUGUGCCACACACCUCCCUGCAAAGAGAGGUAACUCUGACCUGAAUUAAGACUCCUAAGCUUUAAACUCAAAAAAAAGGGGGGAAGAAAAACAAACAAACAAACAAACAAAAAGAUAUAAGCUCAGAUAGUAAAACAAAUAAAUUUUGAAGGGAAACAUAAAUAUAAAAGCUAGAUGGUACAAACUGCUGAACCUUUAAACACUGACAUGGUAAAAGCCAAUGAAAGCUAUGAAGAUAUAAAGAAAAAAACCCUACUUUUUGUGAAAGGCAGAGGUACCGAAGGAUCUUCCUGCGUGCAGAUGAAGUCACCUUGCUAUUCAUGUAUCAGUGCUGCAAACACAGUUCUCAUUCUUGAGCUACGGUUGUGAUUAUGAGCAUGGCUUUACUCUGCUGUGCUCAUUCUUGGCUGAAGGAUACAGGGAAUGGAUUUCACGUAUGUCUCCUUCAUGCUAAGCCUGCUUAUUUAAGUACAAAGCUUUCUGAUAAAAAAGUGAGCAUUGGAUGAAGAAGAUAAAAACACAGAUAAACAUGAUAAAAAAAACAAGCUCUUGAAUCCUGUUGUGGUGUAAUGUUGGCCAUGGGCCUAGUCUUGAUAGUAAGGCUGAAAGAAGACUGAAAUCGGAGGCAAGGAGGGCUUGGGGACCAUGCAGGAGCAUGUCUAAAAUCAUUAUCAUGUCAACAGCUGGAUUAGACUGCUUUACACUGCUGCCACUAGGAGCUCUCCAAAAGCAGGAGCCACCUGCAGUGAGAGGGUGUCCAGGAUCUGCCCUGCUCCUGCUGGGACAGGGGACUGUUGAUCCAGCAAAGAACAGGUCUGUGAAAUGGAGAGGUCUUGGGGACAACAACACAACAGAAACAAGAGGAAACCUCAGCACAUGGCUAGCGCAGAGAAAUGAAGGAUUCUCUCUGGGAAUUGGUUAGUAGCGCUGAUGUUUAAUAUUUGUCAUAACAACCACUGACUGUUUUGUUUUUUGUUCUAACAAUGUGAAUUAUGCAUUAAACAUUAAUACAAGCGAGUGUACUUUU